rnacentral:misc_RNA from 1 species
UUAAGUUCAGCGGGUAUCCCUACCUGAUCCGAGGUCAACCUGGAAAAAAGAUUGAUGUGUCGGCAAGCGCCGGCCGGGCCUACAAGAGCGGGUGACGAAGCCCCAUACGCUCGAGGACCGGACGCGGUGCCGCCGCUGCCUUUCGGGCCCGUCCCCCCGGGAAGGGGGACGAGACCCAACACACAAGCCGGGCUUGAGGG